rnacentral:rRNA from 1 species
AUUGAACGCUGGCGGCAGGCCUAACACAUGCAAGUCGAGCGGAUGAGUGGAGCUUGCUCCAUGAUUCAGCGGCGGACGGGUGAGUAAUGCCUAGGAAUCUGCCUGGUAGUGGGGGACAACGUUUCGAAAGGAACGCUAAUACCGAAUACGUCCUACGGGAGAAAGUGGGGGAUCUUCGGACCUCACGCUAUCAGAUGAGCCUAGGUCGGAUUAGCUAGUUGGUGAGGUAAAGGCUCACCAAGGCGACGAUCCGUAACUGGUCUGAGAGGAUGAUCAGUCACACUGGAACUGAGACACGGUCCAGACUCCUACGGGAGGCAGCAGUGGGGAAUAUUGGACAAUGGGCGAAAGCCUGAUCCAGCCAUGCCGCGUGUGUGAAGAAGGUCUUCGGAUUGUAAAGCACUUUAAGUUGGGAGGAAGGGCAGUAAGCUAAUACCUUGCUGUUUUGACGUUACCGACAGAAUAAGCACCGGCUAACUCUGUGCCAGCAGCCGCAGUAAGAC